rnacentral:rRNA from 1 species
GCUUACGGCCAUACUACCCUUGACUGUCCCGAUCUAUCUCAUUUCUGAAGCUAAGCAGGGUCAGGCCUGGUUAGUACUUGGAUGGGAGACCGCCUGGGAAUACCAGGUGCUGAAGCU